rnacentral:lncRNA from 1 species
UUAUAUGAUAAUAUCUAUACCUCUAUACCUAUACAUUAUUUCUCCUAAUUUUUUGCCACGUGGUGAAUUCUCCUUCACUCUUUUCUCUUCUCUCUUUCCACUCUUAUUUUCACCCAAUGUUUCAUCUUCCUAAACCCCCACUCAAUUAAUAUGUUUACAUAAUACCAUCUCCACCCAAUGCUUCAUCUUCCUAACUCCCGAUCUCUCAAUUAAUAUGUUUACAUGGUUUCAUCUCCAUUUCUUCAUAUCUUUUUUUUCAUAUUAUUUUUUUUCUCCCCCUUAUUUUUCAAUUAAUAUGUUUAUAUGGUUUAAUCUCCAUUUCUUCAUAUCUUUUUUUUCUUUUUUUCUUGGCGCACAAAAAGGGCUCAUGUUUUGUAACUUUUUUAAAUUUUUUGUUGUGUGUAGAUUGAAAUUAGGGUUUCGAGAAUCGCGACGGAGCGCUGCAGAAGAAAACGGUGAUGGAUUUGGAGUCAGUGAGGGAGAAGAAGCAGUGGAUGUGGAUACGGGAUUGAUAUGGUCGUGACUAAAGAGGAGCUGGACACUAGCGGCGAAGGCGAUGUAAAGAUCGAAAUUUGUCUCUCCAAUGUCAAUAGUGCAAUAAAGAUGUGUAUGGGGUAAAAAAAUUUUAUUGCUUAUUUUAUUAUUAUUAUGUGUGAUUUAUUUAUCGAAAUUAUAUAUUUUGUUAUAUCUAUACCUAUAUCUAUUUUAUAUUUUAUAUUUGUGUUUAUUGAAGUCCCAUAUCAAAUCAAAAAAUUUAAAAUUUUUAUUUUAUUUAUAUUUUAUAUUCCAUAGUAUCAUUCCGCCGCAAUGCGCGGGUAACUUCACUAGUAUGUACAUCAUACAUGCAGGAAUGGACACAAACAUGUUGGAGGCGAUGUAGAAUUUUUUACUUAUUAUUAUUAUUAUUAUUUUGAGAAAUAGGCAGCAUGCUACCCGCUUCAUUUAUUUCAUUUAAAAAUAAAUUUAGUUGGAAUCAACGAGGAUUCGAACUUGGGAUACCUGGUAUCAACCACCAAGCUUUUUGCCACUUGCUCUAGGGACGGUCAUUUUCAUACUUUUUUACUCUUAUGAGUAUGAUCAUCACCUUCGUACUCAUAAGCUAUUUUCAAUGAUAGAGAUUUCGAAUCGACAAUUCAUAUCGUUAAAAAUGAGUUAGAGCAUUUGAAACUUCUAGAAAAUUAAAUUUUAUAAAUUUUCGACAUCCUUUACGUUAUAAUCAAAAUAUCUCAAAAAUUGAUAAUUUUUAAUGGCCGAUAUGAGAUAUUUGCUAGUUUAACUGCGUAAAAGAAAUUUAAAUUGAUUGAAAUUUUGAUAGAAAAUUCUAUUCGCUAUAUAGAUAAAGAUCAAUAACUCUGAUCUUAAAUUGAAGGAUUAGAUCAUCUAUUUUGUGAUGUCGUUUAAUUUUGAUUGUUCAUUUUAUGUCCGUUUGAUGGAUUUUAUUAUAGUUUUAAAAAAUUAUGAAAUUUAUUUUCUAAAAAUUUCAAAUGCUCUAAAUCAUGUUUAACUGUAUGAAUCGUCUAUUUGGAAGUUCCAUCAUUGAAAUCUAGUAUAGUAGCCCUACUCUUACUGUUACUAUCGUUUGCAAUAUUGUACUUUUUUUUUUUCAAGCAUCAGUGAUUGUUUUAUUGAAAGUACCGGCGAAGUAAAUUAAUUUCAACUGUAAAUAUUUAAAAUAUCACAAAUUGAUUUUGUCAUGACCGGAACCAUUCCCUAAUUCAAGUCGCCACCGCCGCAUCUCUAUUCCAUUCAAACUUUAAAUUUUUACUUUGAAUUCCAUUAAACUAGAGGGCUUUAAAGAAAAAAAUACAUACCACCCAUUUAUAGAACCUCUAAAUUGAUGAUCGAUACUAUUGAACAUGAUCUAUACCACUUAAAAUAAUUAGAAACUAAAUUUCAAGUCUUUUCGAUAUCAUGGACCUAACUAUCAGUGUUUCAAAAUUUAUAAUUGUAAUGGUUAAUAUGAGGUAUUUUCUUAUUUAAUAGCAUAAAAAUAUCUAAAUUAAGUGAAUUUUGGUUAGAAAUUUUUUUAAACUAUUUAGAAUAAGAUCUAUAGUUUUGAUCUUAAUUACAAUAUUUCUAUCAUCACUUUUUAAAGAAUAUUUAUUUUCAACUGUUUAUUUUUGUAAUGUUCACUUGAUGGGCAAGAAAACAAUAUCAAAAAGGCAUAAAUUUAGUUUCUAGGGUAUCGUUUGGUUCGGAAAUAAGCAAGCGGAAUUAAAUCAAUUUUGCGUUUGAAUGAAAAUUGGAUUAUGCCUGAAAAUAAGAAAAAGCAUUUGGUUAGAUAAGAUGGAAUAAGAAUUAAAAUGGAUAGUUAUAAAUAAAAAAUAAUAAUAUUAUCCCUUUCU